rnacentral:snoRNA from 11 species
ACGACCUUACUUGAACAGGAUCUGUUCUAUAGGCUCGUACCUCUGUAUCCUUGAGUUCUAAGGAGACAGGAACCUCAGUCUGGUGGAUGAACAAUGACCGUGCGAUCAGAGCGUGAUUAACUGCUUAACCUGCUUUGUUGGGUCAGGGCUGUAGAGGAUCGUUCUCAGCCGAGCUUUGGCUCGACUGGGAUGGUCGCACGGUUGUCUGACAGAC